rnacentral:rRNA from 1 species
GACGAACGCUGGCGGCGUGCCUAAUACAUGCAAGUAGAACGCACAGUUUAUACCGUAGCUUGCUACACCAUAGACUGUGAGUUGCGGACGGGUGAGUAACGCGUAGGUAACCUGCCUGGUAGCGGGGGAUAACUAUUGGAAACGAUAGCUAAUACCGCAUAAUAUUAAUUAUUGCAUGAUAAUUAAUUGAAAGGUGCAAUUGCACCACUACCAGAUGGACCUGCGUUGUAUUAGCUAGUAGGUGAGGUAACGGCUCACCUAGGCGACGAUACAUAGCCGACCUGAGAGGGUGAUCGGCCACACUGGGACUGAGACACGGCCCAGACUCCUACGGGAGGCAGCAGUAGGGAAUCUUCGGCAAUGGACGAAAGUCUGACCGAGCAACGCCGCGUGAGUGAAGAAGGUUUUCGGAUCGUAAAGCUCUGUUGUAAGAGAAGAACGGGUGUGAGAGUGGAAAGUUCACACUGUGAUGGUAUCUUACCAGAAAGGGACGGCUAACUACGUG